rfam:Camelus ferus unplaced genomic scaffold scaffold1609, whole genome shotgun sequence.
GGGUAUAUAGCUCAGUGGUAGAAGUGCAUGCCUAGCAUGCAUGAGGUCCUGGGUUCAAUUCCCAGUACCUCCA